rnacentral:lncRNA from 1 species
CCUGUAAUGGUGCACAGACCUAAGUGGAAAUAAGUCCCAUUGUACUCACAUGACUUUCUUUCUGAAUAGAAACACAUAGGAUUGUGCUGUGAAUCUAUAGCCCUGUGCCCUCUUACCUAGUGAGAAGUGGGACUCUUUGUGACACACCAGCUACAGUGCCCAUAGCAACAGGACAACUCCUCCACCAAUUGUGACAUCAUGCCAACUGGUCUUCCCAGUAACUAUGUGUAACCACCAGUUCCCCAAUGGCUAUCACAAAAUGAGAAUCCUUCCUCCAGGCCUCCUUUCUGUCUCGCAAACUGGUUCUUUGGAUGAGACACCAAUUUAUUGUAAGCCUCAGUAGCAGUUUCAGGUAGGGGAUGGAUAGAAGAUUUGUUCAUUCUGGCAGAGAAGUAGGAAGAAGCCCUCUCCCGCUAGAGCGGCUGAAAAUCUAGCUGCUGUUAGUUCUCCCCUAUCUUCAAACAUCCCCCAAGAGUGGCCAUUUUAUUCCCCACUUCAUCAUCUUUUAACCCCUCUCUGUCUACUUAAAUUUACCACAUGAUUUACUUCAUAUACUCUGUUCCCAGUGUAAAUUGGGAAGCAAAACUAAUUUCUUCCUUUCAUUCUUUUCUGUAGAGGUUGCUGCAAGUGACUGAACCUUGCACUCAGCAUUUUCCUGAGCCUUCCCUGAACAACUCUAAAUUCAUCAUACUGUCCGAGAAUCUAAAACCUCCUAAUGGUGGUAGUCAUUUCCACCUGGAGAAUAUGUUGGCACCAGUGCAGAGAUGAUAUGCCUUUAAUGCUGUAAUGUUAGAACACUUUGCUCUUCAUUGAGGGUAGAGUAUUAAUUUAUGUAAUAGCCAUUUGAGCUAACUCUUGAACCCAAAGGAGUGUGAUUUAAUAUCAAAGAAAACAAUCUUAGAGCCAUCACCUUAAGAAGAAAUUCCAGAGGUGUAUUUUCUUCUGGAAUAAUAAAAGGAAUCCCUUUCCACA